rnacentral:misc_RNA from 1 species
UCCAGUUAAUCACCGGCAGUCUCUCUAGAGUGCCCAGCAUUACCUGAUGGCAACUAAAGAUAAAGGUUGCGCUCGUUGCGGGACUUAACCCAACACUUCACAGCACGAGCUGACGACAGCCAUGCAGCACCUGUGGAAAAGCUCCUUGCGGAGAAAUGCACUUUCAUGCAUCGUCUUAACCAUGUCAAGCCUGGGUAAGGUUCUUCGCGUAGCCUCGAAUUAAACCACAUGCUCCACCGCUUGUGCGGGUCCCCGUCAAUUUCUUUGAGUUUCAGUCUUGCGACCGUACUCCCCAGGUGGUGGAUUUAAUGCGUUAGCGUCGGCACCAGGGGGAUCGACACCCCUGACACCUAAUCCACAUCGUUUACGGCAAGGACUAC